rnacentral:lncRNA from 1 species
UUCUAAUUAGAUGCAAGUCUAAGACACAUUCCUCAAACACAUUAAACCGUUAAUGACUAACCCAGAGCUGAGAAUUAGGUAGUUGGAGCUCACAUCCAAACCAGGCAGGGAAGGGUUAAUCGUUCAGCUUUUUGGAGCAGCUCUAGAAUCAAAAUGGGUUGGAGCCAAGGCUGGGGAGAUGCGACCAACUGCUGAGACCAAGAAGGAUUCCAGAGGACGGACCAGCAGAUGCUGUACAUAAGACUCCAUUUUUUAUAACACAGAGACUCCACAACAGACAUAUCAUGAACUGAGGCUCAGAAGGUUGAAGAGUCUUACCCCAGACCACAUGGCCUAGGUGCUAAAGAGAGAAUGACAAAAAGAAAAUUCAUCCAUGGACAAGUUACCAGGCAGUUUCCAGGCAGACUCAUCUAUAGUCCUGGUCCAUCUACCAAAUGAACUGCAAUAUAAGAAAAGGCGCAUCACCUGCUGGUUGUGUGACUGUGGAUGUGCAGUCUCCAGGUGUGAGUCCCCAAGAUUCGUUUCCAAACUUAGCACUUCCGGUACUGGGUUCAACAGCUGAAGAUUACUCAUAAAGAUACAAACAUCAAGAAUAGCUGGGAGGAUUUAUUUUCAAUUAAAUUCAACAAAGCUGUAUUAAGAGUCUUCUAUGCCUGAGUAUGUGCUAAACCCUUGGGAAUUGAAGGAGAAUAGAAACUAUGAUGAAGGCUGCAGCAUAUAGUAUCAUUGUUUAGAGAAAGAAUGUAAUGGAGCAGUUAAGAGCAAAUCUUGCAGCUAGAUGUCCUGGCUUCAAAUCCAUCUCUAUCACUUAGUAGCUAUUUAACAUUAACUCAUGU